AACCACACUAUCGAUAAAUGGAUUCACCCGUGAGAUGACGUGGUCGUUCCUAGAUGGAACGACCACGUCAUCUCACGGGUGAAUCCAUUUAUCGAUAGUGUGGUUUUGUGAAACUAAACUACCAAUUACCAGCCAUCGCACGAAAUUAAUAGGAUGCCACGUCUUCAUCCUAGAUGGAAUGACCACGUCAUCUCACGGGUGAAUCCAUUUAUCGAUAGUGUGGUU
rfam:Oryza sativa Japonica Group DNA, chromosome 1, cultivar: Nipponbare, complete sequence.